GCAAUAAAAUGCAGGGUCACGCGCGUCCAAUUUAUCUCCUCUUGCACUCAUACAAACAAGAAUAAUGAUAAAUGAUUCCUGUUGUCCUCUAGUUGCGCCUUCACCCUAAAUCAAGAAAAACCCGAGAGAGAGAGAGAGAGAUGGAGGAGAAGAGGAAGAAGAAGGCUGUGGUGGUGGGAGGCAGCAUAGCAGGGAUAUCCUGCGCGCACGCACUGAUUGCAGCUGGAUGGGAUGUUGUGGUGCUGGAAAAGACAUGCUCUCCUCCUACUGGUAGCGCCACCGGGGCCGGCCUUGGACUCGACCCUUUGGCUCAGAAAAUCAUCCAGUCAUGGCUUCAACAACCCCAGCUUCUUCAAAUGACUACCCUGCCCCUCGACAUUGAUCAAAACCAAGCUACAGAUGGAAACAAUAAAACCAGCUGGAUGCUGACAAGAGAUGAGAAGUUCAAUUUUAGAGCAGCAUAUUGGUCCGACCUCCAUAGCCUUCUGUACAAGGCAUUACCGCAGGAGAUUGUUUUGUGGGGACAUCUGUUCAUCUCCUUUUCUAUUUCUGAUGACAAAUCCUUUGUGAAAGUCAGAACCAAAGUUCUUCAAACUGGCAAUACAAUUGAUAUCGUUGGCGAUUUGCUUUGUGCAGCCGAUGGAUGUCUUUCUUCAAUUCGACAGAGUUUCCUUCCUGACCUUAAGCUGAGGUAUUCAGGUUACUGUGCAUGGAGAGGGGUUCUCAAUUUUUCAGAUAAUGAGAACUCUGAAACCAUUCUUGGGCUUAAGAAGGCAUACCCUGAUCUAGGUAGAUGCUUAUAUUUUGACCUGGGUUCAGAAGGUCACAGUGUGUUUUAUGAGCUAUUGAAUAAAAGAAUUAAUUGGAUUUGGUAUAUUAAUCAACCCGAGCCAGAGGUUAAGGGAAACUCGGUUACCAUGAAAGUUAGCAGUGACAUGGUCAAGAAGAUGCACAAGGCAGCAGAGAAGGUUUGGGUCCCCGAAUUGGUUAAGGUAAUACAAGAAACAGAGGAACCAUUCUUGAAUGUCAUAUACGAUAGUGAGCCUCUCGAUCAAAUCUUUUGGGACAACGUGGUUUUGAUUGGAGAUGCAGCUCACCCUACGACUCCUCAUGGUUUAAGAAGUACAAACAUGUCGAUAUUAGAUGCUGCAGUCUUGGGCAAAUGCCUUGAGAAGUGGGGAGAAGGGAGUCUAAAUUCAGCUCUUCGAGAAUAUCAAUCUAUUCGGCUGCCAGUUGUUUCGGACCAAGUUCUAUUUUCGAGACGACUGGGACGUAUAAAACAGGGUUUAUUCCUUUCUGAAGGAAAGCCCCUUGAUCCAAGGACAGCAAGUAAAGGAGAUUGCCGAGAGUUGAUGCAAAAAAACAUGCCUUUUUUCUCCUAUAUUCCUCCCAUAUUGAACUAAAAUUGCACUGAUGGAAAAUUAUGCUAUCUAAGUUUAGAACUUGGAGCAUGAUUUGGUACUUUGUGGGCCUUUUCUGCAUACUAUGAUAAAUUGAGUAUGUAUAACCAACUGAAAUGCUGGUAAUGAUGAUAUAUGUAAUUUGCUGAUAUUGUAUAUACAUUGAUAUUUUAAGUAUAGUGGAGUAUGGAUGUUUAACACGUAGCCCCUGUAUCGGCGCGCUUUUUUGCAAAAUAAUCAAUUUUUCCAUCAAAUCAAUGGCUCUACAGGUGGAGAGAUAAAGCUGCAAGAGAUUCAAGUAUAGAUUCACCUCAUAUGCUGUGAUGGAAAAGUGAGGUUUCAAUUGGAUCCCGAGGUCGUGGCUGUGUUCAGCUCGUCAAGGACCCCUUGGUGUAGGGCUGGGCUCGCUAAGGCAAGAGCUUUUUGCUAAAUCAGGACUACUUUCUUCAGUGCAUUUCAGGGAAAUCUGAUUCAGGUAAAUCCAUAAAUAUAUGACAAUCUUACCUCAUCUCAUGAUGCAAAUGAUUUGUUUAUGAUGAAUGUCAGGCAAUUGGACAAAUAUGAGCUUUUGAAUCAUUCAUAGGGAUGUAGAAUGGGGGUGGGAGAAAUCAGGGAUGAAUUUUUGGUAUAUUUAUAUAAUUGGUAUUUCUUGCUUCCUCUGUGAGGUGCUAUUCAUCUGCAAAAAAAUUUAGAGAGGAUGAGGCGAUUAAAUUUUAAUUCAAAUAAACUAUAGCUUUUGAGCAUCUUGGAGCAUAUGAGCAAUGGAGCUCAUGGAGCACCGCUCACCUUGAGGAUUGCUUUCUUGGUUAGCUUCAUGUUUUUUGUUUUGCUUUUGAUUUGUUGUAACUCCCUCAUUAUCUUGGUUUCACGGGGUUCGAAUGAGAGUGUUGCUCGUUGGAAUUUUGAUAGAGUGCUCUCUUGCUUGUUCUGUUGUAGUUGAAAAUAGUAUACUUCUUUAUACCAGAGUUGUAUGGCUACAAUGUUUAGCCUUUUCUCUGUUAAAGAAGUUUGAGCUUGGCAAAAAUAUACAACUAACUUCAUGA